AUCUUAGAGAUAAGACGUUCCCUUCGGGGACAGAAUGACAGGUGGUGCAUGGUUGUCGUCAGCUCGUGUCGUGAGAUGUUGGGUUAAGUCCCGCAACGAGCGCAACCCUUAUUAUCAGUUGCCAGCAUUCAGUUGGGCACUCUGGUGAGACUGCCGGUGACAAACCGGAGGAAGGUGGGGAUGACGUCAAAUCAUCAUGCCCCUUAUGACCUGGGCUACACACGUGCUACAAUGGACGGUACAACGAGUUGCGAAGUCGUGAGGCUAAGCUAAUCUCUUAAAGCCGUUCUCAGUUCGGAUUGUAGGCUGCAACUCGCCUACAUGAAGUUGGAAUCGCUAGUAAUCGCGGAUCAGCAUGCCGCGGUGAAUACGUUCCCGGGUCUUGUACACACCGA
rnacentral:rRNA from 1 species